rnacentral:rRNA from 1 species
AUGAGACUCCCUAAGUCGAGAGGUGGUAUGGGAUUUCGGGAUAUGCGGGGUUUUAACCAAGCAUUGUUGGCCAAACAAGAUUGGCGUCUUUUGAACUCCCCGCAUAGUUUGUGUGCUCGCCUAUUAAGAGCUAAAUACUAUCCAAAUGGUAACCUGUUGGAUACAAUUUUUUCAGACAACGCAUCGGUUGUGUGGAAGGGUAUUGAGUAUGGCCUGGAGUUGGUUAAAAAAGGUAUCAUUUGGCGGGUUGGUGACGGUUCGUUGAUUAGAACUUGGAGGGAUCCAUGGAUUCCUAGAGGCACAGAUUUUCGACCCGUCACGCCGAAACGUAACUGUCGCUUCAACUGGGUUGCGGAUUUUUUGGAUCAGAAUGGAGCUUGGAAUACUCAAAGGUUACAGGAACAUUUUUGGGAGAUGGAUAUCCGGAAAAAUGUUAAAAUUCGGACAUCACCAAGAAAUAGACAAGACUUUUUUGCUUGA